CCCUGCAGCUCUCGCCUGGAUUCCCGUUGACGCUAAGCAGGGUUGAGUCUGGUCAGUAACUGGAUGGGAGACCUCCUGGAGAAAACUUAGGUUGCUGCAGGGA
rnacentral:rRNA from 1 species